GCCAAGUUAUUAAGGGCACACGGUGGAUGCCUUGGCACCAGGAGCCGAUGAAGGACGUGGGAGGCUGCGAUAUGCCUCGGGGAGCUGUCAACCGAGCUGUGAUCCGAGGAUUUCCGAAUGGGGAAACCCGGCAGGGCUUGAAAUCCUGUCACCCGCGCCUGAACACAUAGGGCGUGUGGAGGGAACGCGGGGAAGUGAAACAUCUCAUUACCCGCAGGAAGAGAAAACAACCGUGAUUCCGCGAGUAGUGGCGAGCGAAAGCGGAUGAGGCUAAACCGAUUGCGUGUGAGAGCCGGCAGGCGUUGCGUGGUCGGGGUCGUGGGAUCGUUCGGGCGGGUCUGCCGAUCCGUCGAGGAGUGAGAAAGUGCUGUGUUAGUCGAAGGCCAUGCGAAUGGGUCACCAUAGCGGGUAACAGUCCCGUAGACGAAAACAUGGUACCUCCUGAGCGUUAUCCCAAGUAGCACGGAGCCCGUGAAAGUCCGUGUGAAUCUGGCGGGACCACCCGCUAAGCCUAAAUACUCCCUGGUGACCGAUAGCGGACUAGUACCGUGAGGGAAAGGUGAAAAGUACCCCGGGAGGGGAGUGAAAUAGUACCUGAAACCGUGUGCUUACAAUCCGUGGGAGCGGGGGCUUUGCCUCUGUGACCGCGUGCCUUUUGAAGAAUGAGCCUGCGAGUUUGCGAUGUGUGGCGAGGUUAACCUGUUGUGGGGUAGCCGUAGCGAAAGCGAGUCCGAAGAGGGCGUAUGAGUCGCAUGUCCAAGACCCGAAGCCGAGUGAUCUAUCCAUGGCCAGGUUGAAGCGCGGGUAAGACCGUGUGGAGGACCGAACCCACCAGGGUUGAAAACCUGGGGGAUGAGCUGUGGAUAGGGGUGAAAGGCCAAUCAAACUCGGUGAUAGCUGGUUCUCCCCGAAAUGCAUUUAGGUGCAGCGUUACGUGUUUCUUGCCGGAGGUAGAGCACUGGAUGGCCUAGGGGGCCUACAAGCUUACUGAAGUCAGCCAAACUCCGAAUGCCGGUAAGUGAAGCGUGGCAGUGAGACUGCGGGGGAUAAGCUUCGUAGUCGAGAGGGAAACAGCCCAGAUCGCCAGCUAAGGCCCCUAAGCGUGCGCUAAGUGGGAAAGGAUGUGGAGUCGCGGAGACAACCAGGAGGUUGGCUUAGAAGCAGCCACCCUUGAAAGAGUGCGUAAUAGCUCACUGGUCAAGUGAUUCCGCGCCGACAAUGUAGCGGGGCUCAAGCGCACCGCCGAAGCUGCGGCAUAUGCACGGUGUUUGGCUUUCUUCUUCGGGAGGGGGUCCAGGCGUGUGUAUGGGUAGGGGAGCGUCGUGUAGCGAGUGAAGCGGCAGGGUGACCUAGCCGUGGACGCUACGCGAGUGAGAAUGCAGGCAUGAGUAGCGAAAGACGGGUGAGAAACCCGUCCGCCGGAUGACCAAGGGUUCCUGGGGCAGGCUAAUCCGCCCAGGGUGAGUCGGGACCUAAGGCGAGGCCGACAGGCGUAGUCGAUGGACAACGGGUUGAUAUUCCCGUACCGGCGUUGAUGCGACCAUGCUGAACCUGGUUCGUGCUAACCGUCCG
rnacentral:rRNA from 1 species